UCCCUAGUGGUCCACAGGUUAGGACUCUGUGCUCUCACUGCUAAGGGUCUAGGUUCAAUCCCUGGUUGGGGAA
rfam:TPA: Bos taurus chromosome 5, whole genome shotgun sequence.